GACAAGAGAUGAUGAAAGCUAAACCAAGGUUAUCGAUAUGAAAGAAGAUACAUUUAUGAGAUGGCAAUAAGAUUAAUUUUCAAGACAUGCUGUCCAGAAUCUGCACUGGAUGGAUCAGCAGACACCACCCAGACCAGUAAUCUGGCUCAACCAGUUCUACCAUCUCACCCAGAUGAACAGAAAACAGCAAGAAAAAGUCAACUUCGACCCCCUAUGGUUCCAUCUCCAACCUGACCAAUCAGCACUCCCCACUUCUCAAGCCCCUACCUGCCAAAUUAUCUUUAA
rnacentral:lncRNA from 1 species